AUGGGUCUUUCUCCCGACGGACCUGCUCCUCGAGGUCUCCGGCUGCCUGUACGACGCUCGCGACUUCGUACGCUUUCACGCCGUCUGCCGGCGGUGGCGGAACGCAGCACCGGCAGCGGCCCGCCACAAGUUCUUUCCAUGGAUGCUCUCGCAGCACGUCGGCCGCGGCGUGCUCAUGCACAUCCCCGUGUUCUACUCGGGGAGCGUCACUCCCGAAGCGAUUUCGAGCUAUCACCGCUGCUACGACGGCAACGUUCUCCAGUCGCUCGACGACACAGCUUGGGUGGCCGGCCCGAACGGCGAGGCCGUCUGGCGCUUCAGUUGGCAUCCCAAGCCAACACUCCAUGA
rnacentral:rRNA from 1 species